rnacentral:lncRNA from 1 species
GUUUUACCAAUUUUAUUAUUUUUUCAUAGCAUUCUAUAAUCAGAGAGUUGAUGAUCAAAUGUAUUCAUAAAUGUGUUCAUCUGCAUUUUUAAUGUAUAUAAAAAGUUGUGCUUUAUACUGUUUUUUUUUUUUUUUUACAGAUGAGUACUAACAAAUAAGGUUUUGACAGAUUUAUUUCCCUUCUUGGCACAAAUAUGUGCCUGCUUGGUACACACCCACACACAAACACACACACAACACACUAACAAAAAAGUACCCAAAAGUACCACUGUUUGAACAUGCACCACCGUAGUAUGCUAUUAUCUGAUGAAUCAUUCAUGCUAUAAAUCUCAUAGCACCUAGUAGCUGAUAUCAUUAGCAUAGCAUUUUUAAACCUUGUUAAUUCAGAUCAGGUUGUUUGUUGACUGAGUGUGAGACGUUUAUCUCCAUAUUUCCUCCACAGACCUCAUUGAUAUUACUGUUAAGGGCACGGAUGGAGAAGCAGCAUCUCUUCCCUGCAAGUGUCCUCCGGAUAGGCCUCCGUAUCUGGUCUGGCAGAAGGUCGCCGGUGAACAGCCGCUCGUGGUUAAUUACUAUAAAGACGACGAGCAAGAAGACAACCUCACAGCAUCUGAGUUCAGGAACAGAACAGAGCUGAACCUGAGUGGAAACUGUUCUCUAGUGUUUCACAGAGUGAGUCUGUCAGACCAGGGACUGUACGAGUGCUACUACAAGAAAUCACCGUUAAGACGUGAAAGAAUCCAUCUGGUCGUCACAGAAAAACAACAACAAAUACCUGGUCAGAACGUCCAGAGCACCAUUGUGACGUCUUCAGUUUGCGUGUUUUUCAUCAUUGUGAUCGCAAGUGCUGCUGUAUACGUGGGAAUCACUUGCAGGAAUAGACAUCAGAUGAGAAGAACAUUUAUUGCAACAUCAAGGAGGAGCAUUUAACAGCUGUCAAUUCAGAGCAAGAUCUAGGUCUAUAGAUACUUUUGAAUGGCAAAUGCAACAAACAAAACAACAAACAGCACAAGCUCGCACACGUCGUGUAGUUCUUAUGCGGGUGACCCAUUUCACUUGUUAACCCACCACAAACAUUUUCUGCCACUUCUCCAUCUAUUAAAGGAGUAAAUCACCGCUGACAAGAUGGGCUUUUAAUAAAAGCGGGCUGUCUAUGCAAAAAAAAAAAAAAAAACGGUGCUACAUAACUAGAGAAUACAAAAAUGCGCAAGUAUAAUCUGUAGUUUUCAGACUUUUGUUGACAAAUAAAUGGGGAUUUCUUGUAUAGGUCACACUGAUAAAGAUACACAUUGUGCAUUUACUUAUACUACUGAUAUUGUAACAACACAAAGUUGGUUGAAAAUCUGCAAACUUACCCUUUAAAGGUAAAAUAGUCCAUAACAAUAAUGCAACUGUGAAUGCCAACCACUGCCUAAUAAUGUCACUUAUGCUUUAACAUGGUUAUUAUUGCUUUUUGCUGCAUAUCAAGACCAAUCAAGUGGUUUGCGUGGUUUUAAAACAUAAAAUUUGUUCAAAACAUUAAACAUGAGUGAACCUAAGAGAACUAAUAAUGUAUAUGUUUCCUUUAACAGAUGCAUUCUGUCCAAAUACUUUACACUUUACAUCCUUAUGUUCGACUUUUUACAUGCAUAGUCUCUAAACGUUCACAUACAGUAUGAAUAUAUAGAGUACAUAGCCAAAGCAAAGAUGUACAUUAAGCAUAUUUACUCAGUGGAUUUAUAAAGUCCUGUCAGUUCGAAAAAACAUUCUUAAAGUAAUGUUUAAAGAAUGCUCUAAUAACUUUAUUAAUAUUUGAUAUACGUUUUUCAUAACGCUGUGCAAAUCAUUCUUGGAACGUCCUUACGAUGUUAUUUGCACAUGCUGAAUGUUCUAAGAAACAUUUUUGUUACAUUUAAAUAACGUUCAAAUCACGACAAGAAAACUAGACAGUUUAAGGUUUAUAGAAUAAUAAAAAAAAACAUUUGAAUAACGUUAUUUUUGGGUGAAAUAGAGUUAGUGGAACAUUGUAAGAAACCUUUUUGUAACCUUUAAAUAGCAUUCUAAUCACAACAAGAAAACUGGAAUAGUUAUAACCUAAAUUUGUUAUCAAGGUAGCUUUAAAGAACAUUCAAAAUAACGUUCCCAUAAUGUUUGCAAAAUGAUAGAAUUAAAUGUUUCUUUCAUGAAUGUUCAGAUAACCACGAAAACAGAUUUUAAACCUUUAAACAAAUUACAUUUUCAUAUCUUAACAGGAACAUUAUUACGUUAACUAUAGGAUUGUGCUCUGAACCUCAAAAUAACACUUUUAUCUUUGCUGUUAUUUUACACUCGGUCACUUCAUGCAUGUAGAUCGGCAUGGUUGUUUUUCAACAUUUCACUGAUACUGACCACAAUAUCUCUGCAGAACAUAUGUUGACAUUCGCUUAUUUGCUUUCUGAUAUUCACUUUCAUUCUGACCAGGAGUCAAUGUGUGUGUGUGUGUGUGUGUGUGUGUGUGUGUGUGAGUGUGUGUGUGAGUGAUUGUGAGCGUGUGUGAGAGAGAGAGUGUGUGUGUGUGUACGCGUUUUUGUGACAAAUGAGGACAUAAAUGUGUAUAAUGACAAAGGUAUGACAGGUAUUACAAGGAGAAGGUGACUUUUCAGGACAUUACCCCAUGUCCCCACUUUUCAAAACGCUUAUAAAUCACACAGAAUGGAGUGUAUUGAAAAUCUGAAAUAGCAGAAAGUCUCCUGUGAGGGGUAGGUUUAGGGGUAGGGUUGGUGUAGGGCAAUAGAAUAUACGGUCUGUACAGUAUACAAACCAUUACACCUAUGGAGAGUCCCCACUUUUCACAAAUGUAAACCUGGGUGAGUGUGUGAGUGUGUGUGCGUGUGUGAGAGAGAGAGUGGUGAGAGAGUGAGAGAGAGAGAGAAAGAGAGUGUGUGUGUGUGUGUGUGUGUGUGUGUGUGUGUGUGUGUUUUGACAGGGCAUUAGUCAGGAAUGACUGUCUGUGUUUGUGUAAGCCGUCUCGCAGUCCUGCAUUUAUUGUUUUUUAAAAGCAGUUUUGUACAGUGACGUUGAUGUUUUUAGAU